rnacentral:rRNA from 1 species
CGAACCCACUUCCGUUGAAAAGGCAGGGGAUGACUUGUGGAUCGGAGUGAAAGGCUAAUCAAGCUCGGAGAUAGCUGGUUCUCCUCGAAAGCUAUUUAGGUAGCGCCUCACGUAUCACUCCAGGGGGGUAGAGCACUGUUUCGGCUAGGGGGUCAUCCGACUUACCAAACCGAUGCAAACUCCGAAUACCUGGAAGUGUCAGCGUGGGAGACACACGGCGGGUGCUAACGUCCGUCGUGAAAAGGGAAACAACCCAGACCGUCAGCUAAGGUCCCAAAGUUAU